rnacentral:lncRNA from 1 species
CCCAGCACUGUUGCAUUGGGGUUUGAGUUUCCAACACAUGAACUUUGGGGGACACAUUCAAACCACAGCAGUCCCUUUCCUUUUUUUCAUUAAGCAAAAUCUUUAGAAUGGCUUAUAUUUUUAGGCAGCUAAAAAAAAAACAUUUUUUUCCUUUGUUUUUAGAUGUUGACCUGAUGCGCUCCUGCCGGUCCUAACUGGCCCUCGUGGAAGGCGUGACUUGCAGAGGAGUUGAUUCUUUCUUAUGUACAUUUACUGGAGAAGUUUACAGCAGGAGACUGGGGUCUGAGACACACGCAUCUUUGUGUGCCCCAAAGAAUAAAGCCCUCAAAGGAUGUGAAGCCUGAACUCACUUCAAAUGCUGGAAAGGCCCUUUCCUUAGCUGAGCUGUGGAGGAACCAGGACUCCUGUGGCACUGCCCUAACGAGGAGGCAGUGCUGCCAGAUUCAGGUCUGCAAGACAGCUUUGGUUCAGCUGAUUUCAGCCAGGCUCACCCCGACUUUGCAGGGCGGCUGUGAAGCCCAGCCUUCAGGUUGGGUUCAGCAUCCAGCAGUGCCCUGGAAAAGUGGCUGUGAAGUUACUUGCAAGACUGCAUUGAACCCUGGCGAGACACUUCUCAGGGGAGCUGUCCAGCUACAUUCUCUGAGUGAAGAAGUGGAGAUCACCAUCAGCAGCCUGUGGAAAGGAUGCAAGUGGCUCUUCCAUAUGACCUUGACCUCUAUGACCUUGGCCAACUUAUUUAAAGCCUGAAUACCUUCAUCAAUAAAACUGGGAAAUAGUGAGACCAUUUCCUUGGGCUGAUGACUGUAUAAUGGUAGGCUCAAAGUCAGGAUACAAAGCAGGAUGUACAAUAAGAUGUCAUCAACCAGUGAGCCAAAGUCAGAGGUGGAGGAUGGAAAAAGACUCCAUCAUUCACAGUGUGGGGUUGAGCAUAAGAUUUUCAAAAUACGUUUGACUUUGUAUAUGUUUUCUAGAUUUUCCAUAAUGCCAACCUACAUUUUCCAUAAAGCAUCACCUUUGACAUUGUGAACCCCAAAUAUCUGAGACAGGUCUCAGUCAAUUUAGGAAGUUUAUUUUGCCAACAUUAAGGACGCAUGCCCAUGACACAACCUCAGGAGGUCCUGAUGACAUUUGCCCACGGUGGUCAGGGCACAGCUUGGUUUCAUACAUGUAUUAGACCGUUUUCAUGCUGCCGAUAAAGACAUACCCGAAUCUGGGCAAUUUAUAAAGAAAAAGAGGUUUAAUGGACUCACACAGUUCCACGUGGCUGGGGAGGCCUCAUAAUCAUGGUGGAAGGUGAAAGGCAUGUCAUACAUGGUGUCAGGCAAAGAGAGAAAUGAGAGCCAAGCCAAAAAGGAAACCCCUUCUAAAACCAUCCGAUCUCGUGAGACUUAUUCACUACCACGAGAACAGUAUGGGGGAAACCGGCCCCAUGAUUCAAUCAUCUCCCACUGGGUCCCUCCCACAACACUUGAGAACUAUGGGAGCUACAAUUCAAGAUGAGAUUUGGGUGGGGACACAACCAAACCAUAUCAUAUACAUUUUAGGGGAGACAUGAGACAUCAAUGAACAUGUGUAAGAUGUACAUCGGUUCUGUCCAGAAAGGCGGGACAACUCUAAGCAGGGAGGGGCUUCCAGGCCAUAGGUAGGUAAGAGACAAAUGGUUGCAUUCUUUUUUUUUUUUUUUGUAGAUGGAGUCUCGCUCUGUCGCCCAGGCUGGAGUGCAGUGGUGCAAUCUCGGCUUACUGCAAGCUCCGCCUCCUGGGUUCACGCCAUUCUCCUGCCUCAGCCUCCCAAGUAGCUGGGACUACAGGCGCCCGCCACCGUGCCUGGCUAAUUUUUUUGUAUUUUUUUGGUACGGACGGGGUUUCACCGUUUUAGCCAGGAUGGUCUUGAUCUCCUGACCUCAUGAUCCGCCCACCUUGGCCUCCCAAAGUGCUGGGAUUACAAGCAUGAGCCACGGAGCCCAGUGAAACUCUUUUGAGUUUCUGAUGAGCCUUUCCAAAGGAGGCAAUCAGAUAUGCAUUUAUCUCAGGGAGCAGAGGGAUGACUUUGAGUUCUGUCUGUCAUUUGUCCACAAGGAAAUUCCUUGUGAGGGAGGUAUGUAGCUUUUGAAUCUUAGUAGCCAUCUUUUUUUUUAGCAAUAGAAUGGGAGGCAGGUUUGCCCUAAGCAGUUCCCAGCUUGACUUUAUCCUUUGGCUUAGUGAUUUUGGGGUCCCAAUAUUUAUUUUCCUUUCACAAUGUUUAGAGGAUUUAAUGAAAAAUCAAACUUGUGUCUGUAGCGUCUUUCCCAGUCACCAGCCCCUC